AAUCCAGAAUAGUGGGACAAAGGUACAGGACGGCAGGCAGGGUCAGGGUCAGGUCAGGCAGAGGUUGGUAAUCCAGAGUAGUGGGACAAAGGUACAGGACGGCAGGCAGGGUCAGGGUCAGGUCAGGCAGAGGUUGGUAAUCCAGAAUAGUGGGACAAAGGUACAGGACGGCAUGCAGGGUCAUGGUCAAAUCAGGCAGAGGUUGGUAAUCCAGAAUAGUGGGACAAAGGUACAGGACGGCAUGCAGGGUCAUGGUCAGGUCAGGCAGAGGUUGGUAAUCCAGAAUAGUGGGACAAAGGUACAGGACGGCAGGCAGGGUCAGGUCAGGCAGAGGUUGGUAAUCCAGAAUAGUGGGACAAAGGUACAGGACGGCAUGCAGGGUCAU